rnacentral:snRNA from 1 species
CGUUGUUGCGGCACGGAGCUAU